rnacentral:rRNA from 1 species
CGGACGGGUGAGUAACGCGUGAGAAUCUAGCUUUAGGUCGGGGACAACCACGGGAAACUGUGGCUAAUACCGGAUAUGCCGAGAGGUGAAAGGCUUGCUGCCUGAAGAUGAGCUCGCGUCUGAUUAGCUAGUAGGUGUGGUAAAAGCGCACCUAGGCGACGAUCAGUAGCUGGUCUGAGAGGAUGAUCAGCCACACUGGGACUGAGACACGGCCCAGACUCCUACGGGAGGCAGCAGUGGGGAAUUUUCCGCAAUGGGCGAAAGCCUGACGGAGCAACGCCGCGUGCGGGAUGACGGCCUGUGGGUUGUAAACCGCUUUUCUCAGGGAAGAAUAACUGACGGUACCUGAGGAAUCAGCAUCGGCUAACUCCGUGCCAGCAGCCGCGGUAAUACGGAGGAUGCAAGCGUUAUCCGGAAUUAUUGGGCGUAAAGCGUCCGCAGGCGGCUUAUCAAGUCUGCUGUUAAAGGCCGGGGCUUAACUCCGGAUAGGCAGUGGAAACUGAUAGGCUAGAGUGUGGUAGGGGUAGAGGGAAUUCCCAGUGUAGCGGUGAAAUGCGUAGAUAUUGGGAAGAACACCAGUGGCGAAGGCGCUCUACUGGGCCACAACUGACGCUGAGGGACGAAAGCUAGGGGAGCGAAAGGGAUUAGAUACCCCUGUAGUC